ensembl:lncRNA
CAAAAACACAAGCAGGUUCCCCUCCUUUCCUUUGCCUUUUGGUCUGGCUCUCCCUUCCCUUUGGGUUGGCGCCGGCCUAAAUGGAAAACCCGUCAUCUUGCCUCCACUAACCUGUGAGCACCGGGUACCUGGAGGCCAAGGCCCCUCUGCUGGGCGGGGGGCGGUCCCCCGGGAGCUGUACCCCAUCAUUCCGCAGCCCGAAAAAGAAAGCUAGAAAAAAAGGAAGAAAAAUACUGUACUCAAAAGAGCACCAAUACUCACUUUUAUAAUGUCAGCAUCAACAAAGAUGAAAGAAAAUGAAAGAAGAAGCAAAUGAAAAUAC